GGUGAACGCUGGCGGCGUGCUUAACACAUGCAAGUCGAACGAUGACGCACAGCUUGCUGGCUGGUUUGGUUGCGAACGGGUGAGUAACUCGUGAGUAACCUGCCCUUAACUCUUUGAUAAGCCAGAGCGACUGGGACUAAUACCUGAUAGCAGCUUCCACCUCCGGGUGGGUGUUGGAAAGCUUUAUCGGUUUUGGGUGGGCUUGCGGCCUAGCCGCUUGUGGGUGAGGUAAUGGCUAACCACCACGACGACGGGUAUCCGGCCUGAGAGGGUGAGCGGCCACACUGGGCCUGAGACACGGACCAGAGUCCAACGUGGGGCAGCAGGGGGGAAUAUUGCACAAUGGGAGCAAGCCUGAGGCAGCGACGUCGCGUGAGGGAUGACGGCCUUCGGGUAGUAAACCUCUUUCAGUAGGGAAGAAGCGAAAGUGACGGUACCUGCAGAAGAAGCACCGGCUAACUACGUG
rnacentral:rRNA from 1 species